AUGCAGUCGACGGCAGCAUAGGAGCUUGCUCCUGAUGGCGAGUGGCGAACGGGUGAGUAAUAUAUCGGAACGUGCCCUAGAGUGGGGGAUAACUAGUCGAAAGACUAGCUAAUACCGCAUACGAUCUACGGAUGAAAGUGGGGGAUCGCAAGACCUCAUGCUCCUGGAGCGGCCGAUAUCUGAUUAGCUAGUUGGUGGGGUAAAAGCCUACCAAGGCAACGAUCAGUAGCUGGUCUGAGAGGACGACCAGCCACACUGGGACUGAGACACGGCCCAGACUCCUACGGGAGGCAGCAGUGGGGAAUUUUGGACAAUGGGGGCAACCCUGAUCCAGCAAUGCCGCGUGAGUGAAGAAGGCCUUCGGGUUGUAAAGCUCUUUUGUCAGGGAAGAAACGGUAGUAGCGAAUAACUAUUACUAAUGACGGUACCUGAAGAAUAAGCACCGGCUAACUACGUGCCAGCAGCCGCGGUAAUACGUAGGGUGCAAGCGUUAAUCGGAAUUACUGGGCGUAAAGCGUGCGCAGGCGGUUGUGUAAGUCAGAUGUGAAAUCCCCGGGCUCAACCUGGGAAUUGCAUUUGAGACUGCACGGCUAGAGUGUGUCAGAGGGGGGUAGAAUUCCACGUGUAGCAGUGAAAUGCGUAGAUAUGUGGAGGAAUACCGAUGGCGAA
rnacentral:rRNA from 1 species